GUGGGUAACCUGCCCAUAAGACUGGGAUAACUCCGGGAAACCGGGGCUAAUACCGGAUAACAUUUUGAACUGCAUGGUUCGAAAUUGAAAGGCGGCUUCGGCUGUCACUUAUGGAUGGACCCGCGUCGCAUUAGCUAGUUGGUGAGGUAACGGCUCACCAAGGCAACGAUGCGUAGCCGACCUGAGAGGGUGAUCGGCCACACUGGGACUGAGACACGGCCCAGACUCCUACGGGAGGCAGCAGUAGGGAAUCUUCCGCAAUGGACGAAAGUCUGACGGAGCAACGCCGCGUGAGUGAUGAAGGCUUUCGGGUCGUAAAACUCUGUUGUUAGGGAAGAACAAGUGCUAGUUGAAUAAGCUGGCACCUUGACGGUACCUAACCAGAAAGCCACGGCUAACUACGUGCCAGCAGCCGCGGUAAUACGUAGGUGGCAAGCGUUAUCCGGAAUUAUUGGGCGUAAAGCGCGCGCAGGUGGUUUCUUAAGUCUGAUGUGAAAGCCCACGGCUCAACCGUGGAGGGUCAUUGGAAACUGGGAGACUUGAGUGCAGAAGAGGAAAGUGGAAUUCCAUGUGUA
rnacentral:rRNA from 1 species